CUUGACUAACCAUAGGAGGUCCAGCCUGCCCAGUGACUCUGUUCAACGGCCGCGGUAUCCUAACCGUGCGAAGGUAGCGUAAUCACUUGUUCUUUAAAUGAGGACUAGUAUGAAUGGCACCACGAGGGCUACACUGUCUCCUUUUUUUAAUCAGUGAACUUAAUCUUCCCGUGAAGAAGCGGGAAUAAACCUAUAAGACGAGAAGACCCUAUGGAGCUUAAAACAACAUAGCACUUGCCACAUAACACAAAAAUUUCUGAAUACCCUAAUUUUUCAAAGCAACAUGACUAUAAGUUUUUGGUUGGGGUGACCGCGGAGCAUAACACAACCUCCACGUUGAACGAACUUUAUUCUAAGCCACGAACCACUUUCCUAAGCAUCAAUACAUUGACAUUAAUUGACCCA
rnacentral:rRNA from 1 species